ensembl:snRNA
ACCUUCCUUGUCUCGGGGUGGUUCGGGAAUCUCAAUGAACGUAUAGUGAGAGUUUCCCUGCUAACACCGAAUCAACACAUUCGCAUCACCUGAACGAUUCAGUUCGGGAACGGUGCAAUUUUUGGAACA